rnacentral:rRNA from 1 species
UACGUAGGGUCCGAGCGUUGUCCGGAAUUACUGGGCGUAAAGAGCUCGUAGGUGGUUUGUCGCGUUGUUCGUGAAAACUCACAGCUUAACUGUGGGCGUGCGGGCGAUACGGGCAGACUGGAGUACUGCAGGGGAGACUGGAAUUCCUGGUGUAGCGGUGGAAUGCGCAGAUAUCAGGAGGAACACCGGUGGCGAAGGCGGGUCUCUGGGCCGUAAGCUGACGCUGAGGAGCGAAAGCGUGGGGAGCGAACAGG